GCGCGAAAACUUUGCAAUGCGCGAAACCGUGNCAAGGCNACCCCGCGUGCCCGUAAAUUCCGGCUGUUCCGGUGUACAAAAAGCACCGGGAGAAAGGGCCGGGCAAGACCGGUGCCAGCCGCCGCGGUAAUACCGGCGGCUCGAGUGGUGGCCACUAUUACUGGGCUUAAAGCGUUCGUAGCUGGAUUGUUAAGUCUCUUGGGAAAUCUACCGGCUUAACCGAUAGGCGUUCAAGAGAUACUGGCAAUCUAGGGACCGGGAGAGGUGAGAGGUACUCCAGGGGUAGGA
rnacentral:rRNA from 1 species